GACGAACGCUGUCGGCGUGCUUAACACAUGCAAGUCGAACGGAAAGGCCCUGCUUUUGUGGGGUGCUCGAGUGGCGAACGGGUGAGUAACACGUGAGUAACCUGCCCUUGACUUUGGGAUAACUUCAGGAAACUGGGGCUAAUACCGGAUAGGAGCUCCUGCUGCAUGGUGGGGGUUGGAAAGUUUCGGCGGUUGGGGAUGGACUCGCGGCUUAUCAGCUUGUUGGUGGGGUAGUGGCUUACCAAGGCUUUGACGGGUAGCCGGCCUGAGAGGGUGACCGGCCACAUUGGGACUGAGAUACGGCCCAGACUCCUACGGGAGGCAGCAGUGGGGAAUAUUGCACAAUGGGCGGAAGCCUGAUGCAGCAACGCCGCGUGCGGGAUGACGGCCUUCGGGUUGUAAACCGCUUUCGCCUGUGACGAAGCGUGAGUGACGGUAAUGGGUAAAGAAGCACCGGCUAACUACGUG
rnacentral:rRNA from 1 species